rnacentral:rRNA from 1 species
UACGUAGGCAGCAAGCGUUGUUCGGAGUUACUGGGCGUAAAGGGUGUGUAGGCGGUUCUUUAAGUUUGGUGUGAAAUCUUCCGGCUCAACCGGGAGGGUGCGCCGAAAACUGAAGGGCUAGAGUGCGGGAGAGGAGAGUGGAAUUCCUGGUGUAGCGGUGAAAUGCGUAGAUAUCAGGAGGAACACCGGUGGUGUAAACGGCUCUCUGGACCGUAACUGACGCUGAGACACGAAAGCGUGGGUAGCAAACAGG